CGUUCGUUGCUUAUUUUCGCUCCGUCGCGCCGCGCCGGUGCAGCCACCAAGCUUGCCGAGUCUAGGGCGGAGGGUGCAGAGAGUCUCUCUAGGGUCGGCGACGUGGCUGCCUCCGGUGCAGUGUCCGGCGGGGCAGGGUAGGGUUAUCGGAGGCCGUGCUGCUCGUUAGGGAGGGGUUUGACUGCGGGAGGCCGCGUACUAGGCGGGCGGAGCGGAGGAGGAGGUGGCGCGGGGGAAGGAGGAGGCUUGGGGCGUUGGCGGAGCGCGGGGCGGCGAGGGGCGGGCGGCUCGGGAUUGGGGCUGAGAAGCCUCGAAGCGAAGAGCGGCGGGACGCGGCGAGACGGACGACUACCUAGGCCGGUGCGGGAAGAGGCUACGAUCCCGGCUGCGGAUGCGGCUCAAGUUGCCCCUCUGACCGCACCUGCUGGGCCUCAAGCGCCUGCGGCUCCGCCUUCGCCCCCCUCUCCUGCGCCCGAAGCUGCCCGGGUCCCUUGACGGGCUCCUCGAGCGGUCUCCUCACCACACGGAGCUCACGCAGUGAAGCCGGCUCCGGCACCGCCGACCCCUUCCGCUCUGGACGGCGCAGAUGCAGCAGCCGUGGCGGGUACAGAGCGUCCUUAGUACACUAGUUCAGUUUCGGCAGUAGUUGAAGGACUUUGGAGUCCGACAAAAGAACCUUGACACAAGGUCGUCCCAAAGAUAAGACUGUGGUGUUUUGGAAGUCCAAGGAUGAUACUUGCUUUACUAACUGUACACCUUCUUCUUUUUCUACUUGUGGAAACCCUAAGAGAUAUCGACCAAAGAACGUUUCCAACGGUCGGUCGAACUACACAAUGGACCUCGACUUAAAGCUCACCGUAAACUCCUUCGUUACUGAAUACCACCGUUUCAAUAGGAACCUCUAGCGGGACAGGUCUAGUGAGACUCCUCUUGAACCCCCUUUUACAGUAACACCGUGUCCCGAUUUAAAGACAUGAUGUAACAAAAGGUCAGGAAUAAAAAUGGCUCGGGACUUCUAGAAUUAUUUUACAAUUUCCUGUACCUACUACAACUGUACGAUUGUGAACAGUAAGUUCUCUACUCAUUCCGUAAAGGAUCAGACUACCUCUGUGAAGAGGUACUCGCACUAUACAUAUACAGAAGGUUUAAUAACUUCCAUCGUUCCCUUGUAAGAAGUCACCACCGUCAACACCCUUUUCCCGUACAAAGACCGUAUUUCUUUUUAACCGUUGUUGGAUAACUCCAUGUUGCAAACUACCUUAAUGGACACGGAUCCUUUCCACGAAGCUUCAACUUUUAAAACCGUAGGUAACCUCGUCAUUCGUGUCAUCAUCGUAGACCUUAGAUAUAUACCCCAUUUUUUAUUGUUACAUACGUGGUUACACAGUUCACAAGAAACAAGAACAGUACACAUCAGAGAUUUUUCGUUUCCCACAAGUCAAGAGUGAAUGUCAAAAAGUAAUAUGUUAUCCACAUUAAAGACCUUAGCUUCAACUUGUUUACUUUCUUGUUAAAGUGACGUUACAUGUGACCUACACAGAGAAAGGUUUCGAAAGGAUAAAAUGAUCCUUGUUUGAGACCGCUUUUGCAAAUUCAACGUUUAAAUCUUAUCCUUUUACUAAACUGAACUAAAAUAAUAGUCCUCAGUAAAACCGAACGUUUAACAUCACGUAACUUCGAUAAGCAAAUCACGUAGUGGCCAGUAACCUAUCAUCAUCAUAGAUCAAAACCAACAGAGGUAUGUCUUCAAACGAGUGUGUUCAAGUUGAACGUACUGCCGACUGCGUGAGACACCGACUUAAUAAAACAAUAAAGACCGGUCAAACC
rnacentral:rRNA from 1 species